rnacentral:tRNA from 1 species
UCCCUCUAGCCGGAUUUCAACCCGCGACCUAAGGAUCACCGUUGUAACAUCUACAGUCCUCCGCUCUGCCAACUGAGCUAUCGAGGG